ACCUGCGCAGACGCGGAGAAGCGCGUCGGCCUCCGGAGCCGUGUGCGCAGGUUCGAAUCCUGCCGGGGGUA
rfam:Streptomyces qinglanensis strain SCSIO M10379 scaffold1, whole genome shotgun sequence.